UACAGAGGGGGCAAGCGUUGUUCGGAAUUACUGGGCGUAAAGGGCGCGUAGGUGGCCUUCUAAGUUGAACGUGAAAUCCCUGGGCUCAACCCAGGAACUGCGUCCAAGACUGGGAGGCUUGAAUCCGGGAGAGGGAUGCGGAAUUCCAGGUGUAGCGGUGAAAUGCGUAGAUAUCUGGAGGAACACCGGUGGCGAAGGCGGCAUCCUGGACCGGUACCGACGUUCAGGCACGAAAGCGUGGGGAGCAAACAGG
rnacentral:rRNA from 1 species